rnacentral:rRNA from 1 species
AUUGAACGCUGGCGGCAUGCCUUACACAUGCAAGUCGAACGGUAACAGGUCUUCGGAUGCUGACGAGUGGCGAACGGGUGAGUAAUACAUCGGAACGUGCCUAGUAGUGGGGGAUAACUACUCGAAAGAGUGGCUAAUACCGCAUGAGAUCUAAGGAUGAAAGCAGGGGAUCGCAAGACCUUGUGCUACUAGAGCGGCCGAUGGCAGAUUAGGUAGUUGGUGGGAUAAAAGCUUACCAAGCCGACGAUCUGUAGCUGGUCUGAGAGGACGAUCAGCCACACUGGGACUGAGACACGGCCCAGACUCCUACGGGAGGCAGCAGUGGGGAAUCUUGGACAAUGGGCGCAAGCCUGAUCCAGCAAUGCCGCGUGCAGGAUGAAGGCCUUCGGGUUGUAAACUGCUUUUGUACGGAACGAAAAGCCCUGGGUUAAUACCCUGGGGUCAUGACGGUACCGUAAGAAUAAGCACCGGCUAACUACGUGCCAGCCGCCGCUGUAACAC